rnacentral:rRNA from 1 species
GCUUAGAGUUUGAUCCUGGCUCAGGAUGAACGCUGGCGGUAUGCUUAACACAUGCAAGUCGAACGGAGUACAUUGUACUUAGUGGCGGACGGGUGAGUAACGCGUGAGAAUCUGCCUUCAGGAUGGGGAUAACAGUGGGAAACCAAUGCUAAUACCCAAUGAGCCGAGAGGUAAAAAAUUUAUUGCCUGAAGAGGAGCUCGCGUCCGAUUAGUUAGUUGGUGGGGUAAAGGCCUACCAAGGCAGCGAUCGGUAACUGGUCUGAGAGGACGAUCGGUCACACUGGGACUGAGACACGGCCCAGACUCCUACGGGAGGCAGCAGUGGGGAAUUUUCCGCAAUGGGCGCAAGCCUGACGGAGCAAUACCGCGUGAGGGAGGAAGGCCUUUGGGUUGUAAACCUCUUUUCUUAAGGAAGAAGCUCUGACGGUACUUAAGGAAUCAGCAUCGGCUAACUCCGUGCCAGCAGCCGCGGUAAUACGGAGGAUGCAAGCGUUAUCCGGAAUUAUUGGGCGUAAAGCGUCCGUAGGCGGCAUUAUAAGUCUGCUGUCAAAGACCGCAGCUCAACUGCGGAGAGGCAGUGGAAACUGUAAAGCUAGAGUCUGGUAGGGGUAGAGGGAAUUCCCAGUGUAGCGGUGAAAUGCGUAGAGAUUGGGAAGAACACCAGUGGCGAAAGCGCUCUGCUGGGCCAGAACUGACGCUGAGGGACGAAAGCUAGGGGAGCGAAAGGGAUUAGAUACCCCUGUAGUC